CGAUGAAAUACCGGUUCCCUUACGAUCACCGAAGUUAAGCAAUGCCGAGCCUGGCCAGUACCUAGAUUGUUGACCGCUUGGGAAUCCCAGGUGC